AUCAUCAUCGUCAUGGUAAUCGUUGCAGCGUUAGUAUCAGGGGAUAAUAAUUUUGCCAUUAUUCACCCCUGAUAUUAUAUAUCCUCUAAUUCUAGCACGAACGUAUAUCUACUUGCUUGCGACUAACACCCUGAGGCGGUUUAAAACGCAGAUCCUGUUCGGGACCGCAUUGUAAUUUCCCCCGCCACGCACCACUAAACAAUCAACAUAAUAUAUAAACCCACGCCUGAAUUGCUUGUAAUCAAUUCGCACAUCGAAUCUAAGUUGCAUCAUUAUCUCCUCUUAGCUGUUAAGCUACGACUCGACGAAGCCUAGAGCCAGAGCCAUGCAGAAAUUGAUACUGGUGUUGGUGCUGCUAGUUGCAAUUGGUGCGACAAUGAUCCCUGUCGCUGACGGAUCCUACACGUGCUGCUGUAGACGUUGCCGCCCGCCAUGCUUCCGUUGCGAAAACCGUCAGCAAUGCAACUGCGCCCGAUGCAACUGUGAUCGUUUCUGGCUGAUCAGGACCUCAUCAGGCUGACUUUGAUACCUCACGAUCAACAGCGAUGAACGGUGGGUGACCAAGCUGCGUGCGAACAACACAGAGCUUCCACGCGGAUACUGGCGGACACAUCCAGCUUUUAUAUACCUUAUGUUUACAAUAUGAUAACUAUGUGAAUGUUGUUACCUGUUAUCACGAGCACUAUAAUGACUGUGGUGAGAGACACGUGAGCUAAAAUGUUAGGCAGUCAGUAGUUGGUGUAAAAUAUUACUCAGACUAACUUUACUUAGAAGGCUUGUAUUGUGUCGCAACCUAUCUCAGUGUACCCUACGCCUACGGGAUAGGAAUGGAAUAAAUGCUGGUAAUAAAUAUCACGAUAAACUAAUGAAUAUUAUAAAAAAUAUCGUAGUUUUAACCCACGAACGAACUAUACUCAUAGCGCAUUAUACUUAAUAGUGUAUUGUUAUGGACUUUUGUAUCGUUUACUUAUUACGUAAUAAUAAUAAUAAUAUAAUAAUUCUCUCAAAUAAAUUUGUGGGUAAUUGCAUGAAG